rnacentral:misc_RNA from 1 species
UCGGACUCGUCAGAGAUCGGCUCGACUGAAAUAUACGAGCGACCCACUUUUCGAUGUACCAUUUGAACGGUUUGACCUUGCGUAAUAACUAUUUCGUAAGGGACGUUUAGACAGGCUUUGAAAACGUUAGUGGUGCUACAAAUGCAUUAUUCAUUUAAGCUUUAGACCUCAAAUCAGAUAGGACUACCCGCUGAACUUAA